GAGCGCCCCGCAAGGGGAGCGGCAGACGGGAGAGUAACACGUGGGAACGUACCCUUCAGUUCGGAACAACCCAGGGAAACUUGGGCUAAUACCGGAUACGUCCGUAAGGAGAAAGAUUUAUCGCUGAAGGAGCGGCCCGCGUCUGAUUAGCUUGUUGGUGAGGUAACGGCUCACCAAGGCUACGAUCAGUAGCUGGUCUGAGAGGAUGAUCAGCCUCACUGGGACUGAGACACGGCCCAGACUCCUACGGGAGGCAGCAGUGGGGAAUAUUGGACAAUGGGCGCAAGCCUGAUCCAGCCAUGCCGCGUGGAUGAUGAAGGCCUUAGGGUUGUAAAAUCCUUUCGACGGGGAAGAUAAUGACGGUACCCGUAGAAGAAGCCCCGGCUAACUUCGUGCCAGCAGCCGCGGUAAUACGAAGGGGGCUAGCGUUGCUCGGAAUCACUGGGCGUAAAGCGCACGUAGGCGGCUUUUUAAGUCAGGGGUGAAAUCCUGGAGCUCAACUCCAGAACUGCCUUUGAUACUGAGAGGCUUGAGUCCGGGAGAGGUGAGUGGAACUGCGAGUGUAGAGGUGAAAUUCGUAGAUAUUCGCAAGAACACCAGUGGCGAAGGCGGCUCACUGGCCCGGUACUGACGCUGAGGUGCGAAAGCGUGGGGA
rnacentral:rRNA from 1 species